AGCAGCGUGGCUCAGUGGAAAGAGCCUGGAUUUGGGAUUCAGAGGUCAUGGGUUCAAAUCCAGGCUCUUCAA
rnacentral:tRNA from 1 species